ensembl:lncRNA
CGAUGACAGGGAAAUGAAUCAGGCAGAUUCAGCCUGCGCAACCCCAGCUGUUUCCAGGCAAGCUCUGCACAGUGGAGCCCGGGUGGGACCAGAUGAAGGCAGGAACAAAGGCGGCUUAUGGGAGGCCCAGAAUGUCCCUUUCACAUUGGACCCUGGGAGCCCCAGGAAUUAGCACAAACAGUGAAAUGGUCCACGAUGGUAACAGUAAGGCUCACGUGUGCAGCGCCAUGUCAUUUACAAAAUGCUGGCACAGGCAGCACCCCCGGGAGCCUCACAACUUCCGGUGAGGGAUGCAGACCGGAUGCCGUCUCUCAUGGAGCGUCCCAGAGUGAUCCUCCAGCAUCCACCUCUGCGGCUCACAGCGCCACCCAGUGGUCAGACCCGUGGCCCGGCUCCAUGGCUCCCUCGGGCCCCUGGCUGGGCAGAGCCCGGAAUCUAAGGUGCUCUUCCCGUGAGCCCCUCCUCUGGGGCGUUGCUAGGACAUCUGAUCAGAGGCGUUCGGAGGCCCAGCACUGGCCCCAGAUCAGCCCCAACGCCAAGGGAAGGCUGUGCCCCGGGACACCUGAGAUGCAAAGAUGACUGAUGCACACGGUUCACUGACGACCAUCCGACUGUUCCGAGAAAUGGAGAAACCAGAAGGAAGAGCCUGGCCCCACAGGAAGCAGAAGACAGACCUGAUCCUCCAAGAAGCCAGGCUUGAGCUCCGCCAGGGGCCACUCACCCCAUUCAGGAGAAGAGAGAGAUUCGCCCAUCAAGCGGGUGCAGCUGGCCGCUGAGACGCGGCGCCUAGGAGCUGAGUUCCGGGCCCGCAUCGCAUCGCAUCGCAGAGCCGUGGCGCCGUCACAGAAGCAUCCUGUGUUGCUGAUUUCGUUGGUUCCUUCGUUCUCCAAGGAGAUGUUAUACCUGCCAGGGGCUGGACCUGAGGACUCAGCGGGAACCACAGAGGCCACCCUCACUGCUCUGUGUGUGCUCAUGGCUCCUCAAAUACACUGUAAUUCACUGGGGCAAAGCCUGGGUCUGCCUCUCUGAUGUCUGAUGGGCCCACAACAGUGACAUAUGAAGACGGAUGCUUGCACACACUGGGGACCCCCCACAUAGCUGCUGGGUGGGUGAGAGAAAGAACGAACGAUCGACCGCACCCAGCAGGCAGGUGGUCAGGCUUUGAGAUGAAGCUGUGCCCCAAGAGGGGGCAAAGCGGAUCUUUCGUUCCAUAGAAAGUGGGUUUUUCACUGCUCCGCAUUUACAAACACAGGCAUUCAAACAAGAAAACGUGGGCCUGAGAAUGGAUCCAAAUCUUUGGGAAUGAAUUCUCAGAGGCCCACAUCACCUUGUGAGCAUGUUCCGAAGAACAUCAGGACUGAAACCUCUGCCCACUCUCACUGGUGAUCUCAGGCCCGUAACUUCUUUUCUCCGACCUUCUCUUUCUCAGCCUAGAAUGGGGAUUUCAUUAAUUCUUUCACAGAGAUCGUCGUGAGAAUUAAAUGAAAUGAUGUGCAGAGGAGUCAGCAUGUUACAUGUACAGAAGCAUAUUGAUUCUGCAAUUUCAACUAUGUAUGUGUGGCAAAACAAAUUUUAAAGGAAGGCAUGGAAAGGAAAGUGCUUCCCUGGGGCCGGCCUGGUGGCGUAGUGGUUAAGUUCCCACGCUCCACUUUAGCGGCCCAGGGUUCACAGGUUCAGAUCCUGGGCAAGGACCUAGCACCUCUCGUCAAGCCACGCUGUGGCAGCAUCCCACAUAAAAUAGAGGAAGGUUGGCACAGAUGUUAGCUCAGGGCCAAUCUUCCUCACAAAAAAAGAAGAGAAAAGAAAAGAAAAAUUGCUUCCUAAAUUAAUGUAAAUAUAAGGCAAAAAUAUAAUAAUAGGAUUCUUCUUUGGGGCAGGAAAAAUAAUUUAAAAUUCAGAUAGAAGAAUAAAUAUUCAAGACCUGCCACGAAAAAGUUUGAAAAGUAAUAGUGGAGGAAAUUGCCUUAGGAAAUAUUAGGUCUGAACUUGAGUCUAAAGGUAAAAAGAAGUAUGGUUUUGGC